rnacentral:tRNA from 1 species
CGAGUUCUUCGGAGGCACGCCGAACAUCGUCGUUGACGAUGACGUGGUCGAACUCGCUCUGCGCCGCGAGUUCGACCUUCGCGGUCUCGA